UACGAAGGGGGCUAGCGUUGCUCGGAAUUACUGGGCGUAAAGGGAGCGUAGGCGGACAGUUUAGUCAGAGGUGAAAGCCCAGGGCUCAACCCUGGAAUUGCCUUUGAUACUGAUUGUCUUGAGUAUGGGAGAGGUGAGUGGAACUCCGAGUGUAGAGGUGAAAUUCGUAGAUAUUCGGAAGAACACCAGUGGCGAAGGCGACUCACUGGCCCAUUACUGACGCUGAGGCACGAAAGCGUGGGGAGCAAACAGG
rnacentral:rRNA from 1 species